rnacentral:tRNA from 1 species
AGAAUAUGGGGCACAAAAAGAAGCUGCUAACUUCUAUUUUUAGCGGUUUAACUCCGUUUAUAUUCUU